rnacentral:rRNA from 1 species
GAUGAACGCUGGCGGCGCGCCUAAGACAUGCAAGUUGAACGGACUUACUCGAAGUUUUUUCCUUUUGAGGCGGUUAGUGGCGGACUGGUGAGUCACGCGUAAGGAACCUGCCUAUUUGUGGGGACUUACAGUGAGAAAUCAUUGCUACUACUGCAUAUGUCAUAGAUAUCACAUGAUAACAGAGGGAAAGGAGCCAUCCGCUAAUAGAUGGCCUGGCGUCUGAUUAGAUAGUUGGUGAGGUAACGGCCUACCAAGUCGACGAUCAGUAGCCGGACUGAGAGGUUAAGGGGCCGCAUUCUAAGUGAGACACGGGUCGGGCACCUACGGGAAGCAGCAGAAGGGAAUAGUGCGAAAUCGAGGAAACUCAGACGGAGUGACGCCGCGUAAAAGAAGAAGGUUAUCGAAGUGUAAACGAGUAACGUAAUAGAAGCGAAAUGACGGUACCUAAGGAGAAAGCUCCGGCUAACUACGUG